rnacentral:rRNA from 1 species
GUGGGGAAUCUUGCGCAAUGGGCGAAAGCCUGACGCAGCCAUGCCGCGUGAAUGAUGAAGGUCUUAGGAUUGUAAAAUUCUUUCACCGGGGACGAUAAUGACGGUACCCGGAGAAGAAGCCCCGGCUAACUCCGUGCCAGCAGCCGCGGUAAUACGAAGGGGGCUAGCGUUGCUCGGAAUUACUGGGCGUAAAGGGCGCGUAGGCGGACAGCUUAGUCAGAGGUGAAAGCCCAGGGCUCAACCUUGGAAUUGCCUUUGAUACUGGCUGUCUUGAGUUUGGGAGAGGUGAGUGGAACUCCGAGUGUAGAGGUGAAAUUCGUAGAUAUUCGGAAGAACACCAGUGGCGAAGGCGACUCACUGGCCCAAUACUGACGCUGAGGCGCGAAAGCGUGGGGAGCAAACAGGAUUAGAAACCCGUGUAGUCC